rnacentral:rRNA from 1 species
AUUGAACGCUGGCGGCAGGCCUAACACAUGCAAGUCGAGCGGAUGAAGGGAGCUUGCUCCUGGAUUCAGCGGCGGACGGGUGAGUAAUGCCUAGGAAUCUGCCUGGUAGUGGGGGAUAACGUCCGGAAACGGGCGCUAAUACCGCAUACGUCCUGAGGGAGAAAGUGGGGGAUCUUCGGACCUCACGCUAUCAGAUGAGCCUAGGUCGGAUUAGCUAGUUGGUGGGGUAAAGGCCUACCAAGGCGACGAUCCGUAACUGGUCUGAGAGGAUGAUCAGUCACACUGGAACUGAGACACGGUCCAGACUCCUACGGGAGGCAGCAGUGGGGAAUAUUGGACAAUGGGCGAAAGCCUGAUCCAGCCAUGCCGCGUGUGUGAAGAAGGUCUUCGGAUUGUAAAGCACUUUAAGUUGGGAGGAAGGGCAGUAAGUUAAUACCCUGCUGUUUUGACGUUACCAACAGAAUAAGCACCGGCUAACUUCGCG